rnacentral:lncRNA from 1 species
AUCCGCGCUUCGCCCCAGAGAGGGCGAGAGGGUGACGGGAAGCGCCGAGAGGUGGUUACAAGUUUAACUUCCCGGCCUCUUGAAAGGAAGACGAGCCCCGGGUGGGAGAGGAAGAGGCGGAGGAGAAAGGCUCCUUUCGGUUUCGGCUCCAAGGGACAGCGAGCCAGCACAAGGCAAUGGGCCCCGACAAGAUGUCCGCUCUGACGGAACUACUGCCAGCUGCCACGCUCCGCCCCUCCCCCCGCCUAUUCACCGCCGCGUAUCCGUCCGCCAACGCCGCCGUCGCGAGCGCGGGGCGAGCCGAGGGGUUCAGGGGGGAGCGGUUUGCUUCCCUCGCUCGGGCCGAGUGGACGUGCCGCCCGCUUGCCGUCUCCCUGUCGGAACAGCACCUUCUCGCUAAAGCGAUCGGAGGUCGGGCCGGGAGGGCGGGGGACGGAGGCGGGUCAUGGGCUGAGGGGGAGGGUAGGCGAGUGGCGGAAACCCUUAAAUUCAGAGAAGCAUCGAGAACCGGAAGGAGACCUUAGGAGGAAAUCGGAUUGGGUAGAGCCUUAGGUAUGGAACCGCAAGAGGAAUAUCCUAGAAUCGUCUUUUCCUUCUGCUGUUUCAGUUUUUGAGCCCCAAAGUGACAAAAUACUAGGGAAUCGGUCUGGAUUAAAUCCUGGGGGUGAGAUCUGUUAAGUGUGCCACUGCCCUGUUUUAGUCUGCCCUGCAUAAAAUGUAGAGGGCCGUUUGUCAUCGAGAGUACUCUUUGGGUAAAAAGUAAGACUUUAACUUUUGAAAGACAUUCAAAAAGAUCAAUAUGUUUAGGUUUUCUAGCAUCCUUAAACGACCCUACUUAAAGUGGAGGUCCUUCAGGACUACGUGGAAAUAAUUUGAAUUUUGAGAACCUGUUGCAGGCAAUAUUCCGCAAGUAAAAUGAUAAAAGUCAAUGUAUAGCCGAAGAGUGACGGUGUAUACCAUAGGUAAUAUCACUGGAGCAGUUAACGGAAUGCAGCUGCCUCAGCUACUCGCCAUAGGAACCACCUGGAGUCUUGUUUAAAAUGCUGAUUUUAUUUAGUAGGCCCGAGAUUAUACUUACAACAAGCAGCCAAGUGAUAGAGAUUACUUCAUCAGAACCAUUUUCUGAGUUAGUAAACCCUCAGUACUUACCUCGUGCCCUACGGGACACCUCUGACUUUCUCCUCCCUGAACAGCCCAUUGUUCUCUCCUGGCUAACCAGUAGACACAAAGCAAAGAGCUAAGCAUGGGGGUGGGAGGAGAACCCCAGAUCUGAGUUCUUGCUUACGGCUUUCUAUUUAUGAUAGUGGUCUGGUUCCACAUAUUAUAGUUUUGUUUCUUCACCACCAAGUUAGAUGUAAUAAUGCCCGCCCUUUGUCACUGAGUUGCUGUGUUUUAAAUGUCAUAAUGUGAAAGGACACUGUAGGCUGUUACUGGUUAUAUCAAUGCUGUUUUAAGAUAGCGUACAAAUAAUGGGUUUCCCUGUGACAGUGUCAUGUAUAUGUCACACUUUGUUCUUGUUACCCCCUACACACACUGCUGCUCCUCCUUGCUAUCAGUCACAACUCAGCUAUUUAACUGGCCAGAGAGAAAUAUGAAACAUUUUGAAAUAUAUGUAUAUAUAAUAAAAUAGAUUAUAUCUAUGAAAAUUAUGUGCCGGGCAUGACACUUGUUUUCUUUUACAAAUGAAGAAACUGGGCACAGAUUGCUAUUACACCAAGGGGACAGAGCUAUUAAGUGGGAGAAGUGGAAUUUGAAGAAGCCAGGGUGCACAGAUUAGUGAGGAACCUAACUGGAACCUACCAACUAGAAACUCAACAUACAGGGAGGACAAUGAAGUAACCUUCAAAGAAACCAGUUCCUGUUGCCCUAAUCUAACAAGUUUCAACAAAGAAGUACACUAAAACUUUACUGCUAUGCAAUAAAGCACAGCAAACUGGAGAACCAGGUUCAGUACCCAGCAUCUUCAUGGUGGUUCACAAUCAUCAGUAACUCCAGUUCCAGUGGAUCUGAUGCCUUCUGGCCUCCGUGGGCA